rnacentral:rRNA from 1 species
CCUGACUGCUAUCGGAUUGAUACUAAGCCAUGCGAGUCUUUGUAGUAAUACAAGGCAGACGGCUCAGUAACACGUAGUCAAUCUACCCUAUGGACGGGGAUAACCUCGGGAAACUGAGAAUAAUACCCGACAGAUCAUUAUGCCUGGAAUGGUUUAUGGUUUAAAUGAUUUUUCGCCAUAGGAUGGGACUGCGGUCUAUCAGCUUGUUGGUGAGGUAAUGGCCCACCAAGGCUAUAACAGAUACGGGCUCUGAGAGGAGAAGCCCGGAGAUGGGUACUGAGACACGGACCCAGGUCCUAUGGGGCGCAGCAGGCGAGAAAACUUUGCAAUGUGCGAAAGCACGACAAGGUUAAUCCGAGUGUUUUCUGCUAAAGAAAUCUUUUGCUAGUUUUAAAAUCACUAUCGAAUAAGGGGUGGGCAAGUUCUGGUGUCAGCCGCCGCGGUAAAACCAGCACCUCAAGUGGUCAGGAUGAUUAUUGGGCCUAAAGCAUCCGUAGCCUGCUUUGUCAGUUUUCGGUUAAAUCCAUACGCUCAACGUAUGGGCCGCCGGAAAUACUGCAAAGCUAGGGAGUGGGAGAGGUAGACGGUACUCGGGAGGAAGGGGUAAAAUCCUUUGAUCUCUCGAUGACCACCUGUGGCGAAGGCGGUCUACCAGAACACGUCCGACGGUGAGGGAUGAAAGCUGGGGGAGCAAACCGGAUUAGAUACCCGGGUAGUCCCAGCUGUAAACUAUGCAAACUCAGUGAUGCAUUGGCUUGAUGCCAAUGCAGUGUUGCAGGGAAGCCGUUAAGUUUGCCGCCUGGGAAGUACGUACGCAAGUAUGAAACUUAAAGGAAUUGGCGGGGGAGCACCACAAGGGGUGAAGCCUGCGGUUC